rnacentral:rRNA from 1 species
UAUACGACCGUGCCGCAAACCGACACUGGUGCGCGAGAUGAGUAUUCUAAGGCGCUUGAGAGAACUCAGGAGAAGGAACUCGGCAAAUUGACACCGUAACUUCGGAAGAAGGUGUGCCCUAUUAGUGUGAAGUGAACAACGGAGCAUGAAUGGGUUGCAAAAAAUCGGUGGCUGCGACUGUUUAUUAAAAACACAGCACUCUGCAAACACGAAAGUGGACGUAUAGGGUGUGACGCCUGCCCGGUGCUGGAAGAUUAAAUGAUGGGGUGCAAGCUCUUGAUUGAAGUCCCAGUAAACGGCGGCCGUAACAAUAACGGUCCUAAGGUAGCGAAAUUCCUUGUCGGGUAAGUUCCGACCUGCACGAAUGGCGUAACGAUGGCCACACUGUCUCCUCCUGAGACUCAGCGAAGUUGAAAUGUUUGUGAUGAUGCAAUCUCCCCGCGGAAAGACGGAAAGACCCCAUGAACCUUUACUGUAGCUUUGUAUUGGACUUUAACAGAUCUGUGUAGGAUAGGUGGGAGGCUUUGAAGCAGGGUCGCUAGAUCUUGUGGAGCCAACGUUGAAAUACCCCCCUGGUGUGUUUGAGGUUCUAACCUAGGUCCAUUAUCUGGAUCGGGGACAGUGCAUGGUAGGCAGUUUGACUGGGGCGGUCUCCUCCCAAAGCGUAACGGAGGAGUUCGAAGGUACGCUAGUUACGGUCGGACAUCGUGACGAUAGUGCAAUGGCAUAAGCGUGCUUAACUGCGAGACUGACAAGUCGAGCAGAUGCGAAAGCAGGACAUAGUGAUCCGGUGGUUCUGUAUGGAAGGGCCAUCGCUCAACGGAUAAAAGGUACUCUGGGGAUAACAGGCUGAUACCGCCCAAGAGUUCAUAUCGACGGCGGUGUUUGGCACCUCGAUGUCGGCUCAUCUCAUCCUGGGGCUGUAGCCGGUCCCAAGGGUAUGGCUGUUCGCCAUUUAAAGAGGUACGUGAGCUGGGUUUAAAACGUCGUGAGACAGUUUGGUCCCUAUCUUCCGUGGGCGCUGCAGAUUUGAGGAAGCCUGCUCCUAGUACGAGAGGACCGGAGUGGACACACCUCUGGUGUAUCGGUUGUCACGCCAGUGGCAUUGCCGAGUAGCUAAGUGUGGAAGAGAUAACCGCUGAAAGCAUCUAAGCGGGAAACUCGUUUCAAGAUGAGAUCUGCCGGGGCCUUGAGCCCCCUGAAGAGUCGUUCAAGACCAGGACGUUGAUAGGUCAGGUGUGGAAGC